UAAUUCUUUUGAAUUUUUUUAAACAAGUUAUUUUUUUCACUUUACCAUUUGACUAUUUUGUGUAUGUCCAUUACAUGAAAUCCAAAUAAAAAUCUAUUUAAAUUACCAGUUGUAAUGCAACAAAAUAGGAAAAACGCCAAGGGGGAUGAAUACUUUUGCAAGGCACUGUAAGUCCUCAAUGCUGUAUGUGUCGGUUGUCGUAUGGAUUGGACCAAAACGCAACAGGAAUAUGUAUACUCAUCUUUUUAUUUUGAAGAAGGCGAAACAACUAAAUACGUAUACAAAAAAGAACAAAACGAAACAGUCCUGUCAGGUGCAACAAACACUAAACAAGGAACAACUACCCACAAAAUCCCAUAGAAAAACACCCCUCUUAAAUAGGACCUUCAAUUAGAAGCAACUAGGAGCAGCUGCUUCCAAUUGAAGGUCAACCCAACAAACACCACAUAGAAAUAGACAUACUAGAACUAACACAGAAAUAGACUAACAAGAACAUAACCCAACAAACCCCGAAAACACUCUUAACAAACACCCAUCUUAAAACAGAACAUAGCCCAACAAACCCCGAAACACUCUAAACAAACACCCCUCUUAAAACAGAACAUAGCCCAACAAACCCCGAAACACUCUAAACAAACACCCCUCUUAAAACAGAACAUUGCCCAACACACCCCGAAACACUCUAAACAAACACACCCCUGCCACGUCAUGACCAAACUACAAUAACAAAUAACCCCUUAACUGGUCAGGACGUGACAGUAUGGCUGUGGUUGCACACUCAAAUUGAUUGUAAUUGUUAACUUCCUGAAUUUUGCAGGCGUUUAAUUUGCCAGACUGGCAGAAUUAAAAAGCAAUCAUAAAAUUCAACUCCAUAUAAAAAAAGUGUGCAUACGUACAUUUACAAUGCAAACAUGUUUUGCCUAAUAUCUACAACAUGUGGUUUCAUAUUACAUUAUUAAAGGCACUCCACUGUAAAUACUGACAUGCUUGAUGGACAAUCGGAGAGCUUGAGAAGGAACUCAUUAUGAUUAUGAAAAAAAAAGACAAAGAGAUUUAUUUUGGAUGCUAAAAACACAUAUUAGUCAGACGGAGGGAUUGGUGUAAGAUGGAUUGGUGUAAGAUGGAUUGGAUGGAUUGGUGUAAGAAACUCUAAAGUUAUAAUGUAUUGGUUAUUCUAAUGUAUGCUAUUCUGCUCUACAUGGAGAAAACUAGGAAAUAACUGCUGUUGUCUUGAACUCAUGAACUUACUGUACUGGAAGAAGGCGAACAUGAUUUAAUGCUGCACGCAAACACAUAAAACAGUCCUUCAAAGUACAGUAAAGCAUUGCAUGAUUAUGAGUAAAGUUCAGUUGGUUAAUGGUCUGCAUGACAAAAACAUGUAGAGUAUGUCCUGCAGUGAGUGCUUAUAUGGUGCAGUGCCAGUGGAGGCCUAUUGACUGUAUCAUGGAAGUAUUUAUUGGCCAUAUGGCUUGUGACACCCCGUGAACUCCUAGUUUCAAGUGAAACCCCAAAUCACAGUAAAAUUGCAAGGACAGGAAUGGAUACAAAUUAGGCACAUAGCUAAUUACUGUUGAUCAAUGUUAAUAAAAUCUUUCCGGGCAUAUAAAGACCAUGUGCUAUAAAGGGGACCUUGCAUUAUUUUUUUAAUUUAUUUUUAUUCAUUUUUUAUUUAACCAGGUAGGCUAGUUGAGAACAAGUUCUCAUUUACAAAUGCGACCUGGCCAAGAUAAAGCAAAGCAGUUCGACACAUACAACAACACAGAGUUACACAUGGAAUAAACAAACAUACAAUCAAUAAUACAGUAGAAAAAUCUAUAUACAGCAUGUGCAAAUGAGGUAGGAUAAGAGAGGUAAGGUAAUAAAUAGGCCAUGGUGGCAAAGUAAUUACAAUAUAUUAAUUAAACACUGGAAUGGUAGGAUGUGCAGAAGAUGAAUGUGCAUGUUGAGAUACUGGGGUACAAAGGAGCAAGAUAAAUAAAUAAAUACAGUAUGGGGACGAGGUAGAUUGGAUGGGCUAUUUACAGAUGAGCUAUGUACAGGUGCAGUAAUCUGUGAGCUGCUCUGACAGCUGGUGCUUAAAGCUAGUGAGGGAGGUAAGAGUCUCCAGCUUCUGAGAUUUUUGCAGUUCGUGCAUAAGGGGAAAACAUUAAGCGAUGAUACAGAUUUAUUUAACCAGAGAGCAACCUGCCUUCUGUAAAGAGAUACCCUCCCAGACUGGAACAGGAAGUCAAUACCCUCCCAGACUGGAACAGGAAGUCAAUACCCUCCCAGACUGGAACAGGAAGUCAUAUGUGAGAGGAAAGAGCACAACAAGCUGGCAUCAGAUUGUAACAAGCCCUCUGGGGUAGAAACUCUCUGGAGUAGAAGCCCUCUGGGGUAGAAGCCCUCUGGGGUAGAAGCCCUCUGGGGUAGAAGCCCUCUUAGCUGACCCUACUACAAUACUUGUUAGACACCCAGGUAAAGGCCUUUUUCUGUCCCACUCAGCAGGUACACCUAUCCAUCUUGACCGAUACCCAUAUGGGGAAGAAGAGGAUAUUAUGAAGGCACUGUAAAGAACCCAUUCCUUAUUGCCCAGUGAUUUAAUCUAUACUGAGCAUAAAUAGAAAGGCAAUAUGUAAAGUGUUGGUCCCAUUUUUCAUUAGCUGAAAUAAAAGAUCCCAGAAAUGUUCUAUACGCACAAAAAGCUUAUCGCUCUCAGAUUUUGUGCAAAAAAUUGUUUACAUCCCUGUUAGUGAGCAUUUCUCCUUUGCCAAGAAUAUCCAUCCACCUGACAGGUGUGGCAUAUCAAGAAGCUGAUUAAACAGCAUGAUCAUUACACAGGUGCACCUUGUGCUGGGAACAAUAAAUGGCCACUCUAAAAUGUGCAAUUUUGUCACACAGCCAUGCAACAGAUGUCUCAAGUUUUGAGGGAGUGUGCAAUUGGCAUGCUGACUGCAGGAAUGUCCAAAAGAGCUGUUGCCAGAGAAUUGAAUGUUAAUUUCUCUACCACAAGCUGCCCCAUUUUAGAGACUUUGGCAGUACAUCCAACUGACCUCACAACCCCAGACCACGUGGAACCACACCAGCCCAGGAACUCUACAUUCGGAGCAGUCUAAGUGGCAGCAGUCUGAAGUGGGAGCAGUCUGAGUGGGAGCACUCAAGUGGGAGAAGUCUAAGUGGGAGCAGUCUGAGUGGGAGCAGUCUAAGUGGCAGCAGUCUGAAGUGGGAGCAGUCUGAGUGGGAGCAGUCUAAGUGGGAGCAGUCUGAGUGGGAGCAGUCUGAGUGGGAGCAGUCUGAAGUGGCAGCAGUCUGAAGUGGGAGCAGUCUGAAGUGGGAGCAGUCUGAAGUGGGAGCAGUCUAAGUGGGAGCAGUCUAAGUGGGAGCAGUCUGAGUGGGAGCAGUCUGAGUGGGAGCAGUCUGAGUGGGAGCAGUCUGAAUGGGAGCAGUCUGAGUGGGAGCAGUCUGAGUGGGAGCAGUCUGAAGUGGGAGUAGUCUGAAGUGGGAGCAGUCUGAAUGGCAGCAGUCUGAAGUGGGAGCAGUCUGAAGUGGGAGCAGUCUGAGUGGGAGCAGUCUGAAGUGGCAGCAGUCUGAGUGGCAGCAGUCUGAGUGGCAGCAGUCUGAGUGGGAGCAGUCUGAAGUGGGAGAAGUCUGAAGUGGGAGCAGUCUGAGUGGGAGCAGUCUGUGCUAGUAGUCUGAGUGGGAGCAGUCUGAGUGGGAGCAGUCUGAGUGGGAGCAGUCUGAGUGGGAGCAGUCUAAGUGGGAGCAGUCUAAGUGGGAGCAGUCUAAGUGGGAGCAGUCUAAGUGGGAGCAGUCUGAAGUGGGAGCAGUCUGAAGUGGGAGCAGUCUGAAGUGGGAGCAGUCUGAGUGGGAGCAGUUUGAAGUGGCAGCAGUCUGAAGUGGGAGCAGUCUGAAGUGGGAGCAGUCUGGAGCAAACAUUUUCAGUCUAAAAACUGUACAUUUGUUUGGUUUAUUUUCUUGAAAGGUGGAAAUAUAAACAUUUGUAUAUUUACCAAUAUGUCAGGGAAGUUAACAUGUGUGUCAAGAAUCAUAAUCUAUACUGUAUAUAGACUUAGUCUCACAUCUAAAAUAACAAGGAUGCCAUGAAGGGGGUGAGAGGUCAUUAGACAAAAUAAGAUGACAAUGAAAUCACAAUGUUUAUUGCCACAAGGAACGACCAAAAUAAAAUGUAAAUGAAGUACGUUUUUUUUUAACAUGUAGUUCGCUGAUCUGCCUUUGAACUGGAUGCAUUGGCCCCUGAGAAAUAGUUUACAAUGUUGGCGCCUGUUAUCAUGAGGUUUUAUGUGCCCUCUAUGGGCCAUGCUGGCUCAGUGGUGCCUUCUACAGUGUCAUCAGAACGUGAUUAGCAAUACCUGCAAUACCUGUCCUACCUGCAGAACAAAAUUUGAAUAGGCUACAAUUUGAAUGUACUACUGCUAGGGACUGUCUAAUGAAUUAGUAAUUUUGCAUAACAAUCAAUCCAAAUAACAACAAUAAUGGAUGUGUUUCAUUUUCCUCUUCAUGAUAAUCAUAUAUGUGUGUAAUUCAUUGAUAGCUGACCCUUUGUUCCUAUAGCAAGUUACAGUAGGUCUACCCUUAAAGGUUAUUUUUUAAUUGUUUAUAUGUUUACCCAAAUUUGUACUUAUUGUUAGUAUAAACUUUAUAGACUAGCCUAGCCCUUAUGAGAAUCAUUGUGGACAAUAGUUUGUUUCCUUAUCAAACAACUUAACGCAUUGUUGUUUUUGGAAAGGUAGACCGGUCAGCAGGGAAAAAUGCAAACCGCGGGUGCUCUCCUC
rnacentral:lncRNA from 1 species